rnacentral:lncRNA from 1 species
UGGGAAUCAUUUGCUUGUGGGUUUAGAGCUGAUUAUCCAGAAGGGGAAAUUGUGAUCCAUAACUCUGGUGUUGAAGAUGAUCCAGCUUGUGGUCCACUUAUUGAUUCUGUUGCUUUGAAGGUUUUGAACCCACCUAUAAGAACCAGAGGUAAUUAAUUAAACGGUCCAAUAUGAUUGAAUAUUUUUGUAAAUCUAUUUUAUGCUUUUUUUACAUAGAAAUAAAAUUCUUAAUUAAACUAGUUUGACAAUUGUUUUUGUUUGUUUGGUGUAGCCAAUUUAUUGAAAAAUGGAAACUUUGAAGAAGGACCAUAUGUGUUCCCAAAUGCAUCAUGGGGGGUAUUGAUCCCACCCCACAUUGAGGAUGCUCACGGUCCAUUACCAGGAUGGAUAGUUGAAUCUCUGAAAGCAGUAAAAUACAUUGAUUCUGAACACUUCACAGUACCAGAAGGAAAAAGAGCAAUUGAACUUGUAGCAGGAAAAGAAAGUGCACUUGCACAAGAAGUAUUCACAACAAUUGGAAAAGUUUAUGUCCUCACUUUUGCAGUUGGUGAUGCCAAUAAUGCAUGUGAAGGUUCUAUGACCGUAGAAGCAUUUGCUGGUAGAGACACUGUUCAAGUUCCAUAUCAAUCUAAGGGUAAAGGAGGGUUUGUUAGAGGCAAACUUCGUUUUAAGGCAUCGACAAGACGUACUAGGAUUAGGUUCCUAAGUACAUUUUACACCAUGAAGAAUGAUAACUCUGGUUCUCUUUGUGGACCUGUUAUUGAUGAUGUAAAAUUGCUUAGUGUUCGUUAUCCCAACAACCAUACCUAAGUAGUAUGCUGCAAAUCAAAAUGCUACCUUCAUAUCAAUCAUGUUUCAGUAUUUUUAUUACGUUAUAGAAUUAAUUCUUGUAAUAAUAUAUAUAGCUAGGAGGAGGAUCUAUUAUUGAGUGGUUUUACUCAGUCUUAUAUAUUCACGUAUCCAAUCUACAUCUACGAUCUACAUCUACAAUGUAAACAAAUGACAAAUAUUUCAAUACGUGGCAAUAUUAUAUAUAUAGCACUCUUUUGCAUUAUGAUUUUCCAAUGUCACAUUGUUAUAUUUUUCUUUUCUUUUCUGAUUUUAACUCUAUACUAUAAAAGCAAUAUUAAUUGUUAAAGGCCACCCUAAUAAAGCAAAAUUUCAAAAUUUCUUAUUUCAAUAAAAUGAAAUUCAAUAAAUUCCACGAGUUCAACAUUUAACAAGUAAUUUCAAACAACCCACCCAUAUGCAUAUUCAUCAUAAUGAAAAAUAUUGAAUUUACUUACAGACCAUCAUAGAAACAUUAUUUAUGUGUGUCUAAGUGAUUCAUAAGAAGACGUUCUAAGUGAUGGAGUUGUCUGAGAGCAAUAUCAGAUAAAAACCAACAUAUCCCUAAACAGUAAUUUCAUAUGUAAGAAAUAUCACCUAAAAAAACAUGUCUUAAAAUCCUUAGAACCAACCCACACCCAUACUCUAGUAUCUUAGUAUAACAUAUGUAAUCUCAAAAUCAUAAGCCAAUUAUGUAUCCAUUAAUUAAACAGUAACCCCUUUUGUUUUAAAAUGUAAUUUUAUCAAGGAAUUUAUACGUUUGGCAACUUUGGAAUAUGAACCCUUCUUGUGACAAAAUGCAGAUUUAUAGUGUUUUCACAUGCUUUAAAGUUUACCUGGUUUGGAUUCUAAGAUCUGAAAAUCAAAGGGUGUCUCAAGUUUCCAGGAGGAGCGUAAGAAGGCGAUUCUCAAACAUCGAGCUUUCAAGGAUUUUUUUUAGCUUGACUCCUACAAGCCUGUUCCUUUUUCAGACUAGCUUGUAUCGUAGCCCACACAUAGACUAAAAUAAGAAGGUUGCUUGCUAGUUACUUC